GGUUAAGCGACUAAGCGUACACGGUGGAUGCCCUGGCAGUCAGAGGCGAUGAAGGACGUGCUAAUCUGCGAUAAGCGUCGGUAAGGUGAUAUGAACCGUUAUAACCGGCGAUUUCCGAAUGGGGAAACCCAGUGUGUUUCGACACACUAUCAUUACGUGAAUACAUAGCGUAAUGAAGCGAACCGGGGGAACUGAAACAUCUAAGUACCCCGAGGAAAAGAAAUCAACCGAGAUUCCCCCAGUAGCGGCGAGCGAACGGGGAGCAGCCCAGAGUCUGAAUCAGCUUGUGUGUUAGUGGAACGGUCUGGAAAGUCCGACGGUACAGGGUGAUAGUCCCGUACACCAAAAUGCACAGGUUGUGAACUCGAAGAGUAGGGCGGGACACGUGGUAUCCUGUCUGAAUAUGGGGGGACCAUCCUCCAAGGCUAAAUACUCCUGACUGACCGAUAGUGAACCAGUACCGUGAGGGAAAGGCGAAAAGAACCCCGGCGAGGGGAGUGAAAAAGAACCUGAAACCGUGUACGUACAAGCAGUGGGAGCCUCUUUAUGGGGUGACUGCGUACCUUUUGUAUAAUGGGUCAGCGACUUAUAUUCUGUAGCAAGGUUAACCGUAUAGGGGAGCCGAAGGGAAACCGAGUCUUAACUGGGCGUUAAGUUGCAGGGUAUAGACCCGAAACCCGGUGAUCUAGCCAUGGGCAGGUUGAAGGUUGGGUAACACUAACUGGAGGACCGAACCGACUAAUGUUGAAAAAUUAGCGGAUGACUUGUGGCUGGGGGUGAAAGGCCAAUCAAACCGGGAGAUAGCUGGUUCUCCCCGAAAGCUAUUUAGGUAGCGCCUCGUGAAUUCAUCUUCGGGGGUAGAGCACUGUUUCGGCUAGGGGGUCAUCCCGACUUACCAACCCGAUGCAAACUGCGAAUACCGAAGAAUGUUAUCACGGGAGACACACGGCGGGUGCUAACGUCCGUCGUGAAGAGGGAAACAACCCAGACCGCCAGCUAAGGUCCCAAAGUCAUGGUUAAGUGGGAAACGAUGUGGGAAGGCACAGACAGCCAGGAUGUUGGCUUAGAAGCAGCCAUCAUUUAAAGAAAGCGUAAUAGCUCACUGGUCGAGUCGGCCUGCGCGGAAGAUGUAACGGGGCUAAACCAUGCACCGAAGCUGCGGCAGCGACACUAUGUGUUGUUGGGUAGGGGAGCGUUCUGUAAGCCGUUGAAGGUGUGCUGUGAGGCAUGCUGGAGGUAUCAGAAGUGCGAAUGCUGACAUAAGUAACGAUAAUGCGGGUGAAAAACCCGCACGCCGGAAGACCAAGGGUUCCUGUCCAACGUUAAUCGGGGCAGGGUGAGUCGACCCCUAAGGCGAGGCCGAAAGGCGUAGUCGAUGGGAAACAGGUUAAUAUUCCUGUACUUGGUGUUACUGCGAAGGGGGGACGGAGAAGGCUAUGUUAGCCGGGCGACGGUUGUCCCGGUUUAAGCAUGUAGGCGGAGGUUCCAGGUAAAUCCGGUACCUUUUAACGCUGAGGUGUGAUGACGAGGCACUACGGUGCUGAAGUAACAAAUGCCCUGCUUCCAGGAAAAGCCUCUAAGCAUCAGGUAACACGAAAUCGUACCCCAAACCGACACAGGUGGUCAGGUAGAGAAUACCAAGGCGCUUGAGAGAACUCGGGUGAAGGAACUAGGCAAAAUGGUGCCGUAACUUCGGGAGAAGGCACGCUGAUAUGUAGGUGAAGCGGUUUACCCGUGGAGCUGAAAUCAGUCGAAGAUACCAGCUGGCUGCAACUGUUUAUUAAAAACACAGCACUGUGCAAACACGAAAGUGGACGUAUACGGUGUGACGCCUGCCCGGUGCCGGAAGGUUAAUUGAUGGGGUUAUCCGUAAGGAGAAGCUCUUGAUCGAAGCCCCGGUAAACGGCGGCCGUAACUAUAACGGUCCUAAGGUAGCGAAAUUCCUUGUCGGGUAAGUUCCGACCUGCACGAAUGGCGUAAUGAUGGCCAGGCUGUCUCCACCCGAGACUCAGUGAAAUUGAACUCGCUGUGAAGAUGCAGUGUACCCGCGGCAAGACGGAAAGACCCCGUGAACCUUUACUAUAGCUUGACACUGAACACUGGUCCUUGAUGUGUAGGAUAGGUGGGAGGCUUUGAAGUGUGGACGCCAGUCUGCAUGGAGCCAUCCUUGAAAUACCACCCUUUAAUGGCUGGUGUUCUAACGUGGACCCGUUACCCGGGUUGCGGACAGUGUCUGGUGGGUAGUUUGACUGGGGCGGUCUCCUCCUAAAGAGUAACGGAGGAGCACGAAGGUUAGCUAAUCCUGGUCGGACAUCAGGAGGUUAGUGCAAAGGCAUAAGCUAGCUUGACUGCGAGAGUGACGGCUCGAGCAGGUGCGAAAGCAGGUCUUAGUGAUCCGGUGGUUCUGAAUGGAAGGGCCAUCGCUCAACGGAUAAAAGGUACUCCGGGGAUAACAGGCUGAUACCGCCCAAGAGUUCAUAUCGACGGCGGUGUUUGGCACCUCGAUGUCGGCUCAUCACAUCCUGGGGCUGAAGUAGGUCCCAAGGGUAUGGCUGUUCGCCAUUUAAAGUGGUACGCGAGCUGGGUUUAGAACGUCGUGAGACAGUUCGGUCCCUAUCUGCCGUGGGCGCUGGAGAAUUGAGGGGGGCUGCUCCUAGUACGAGAGGACCGGAGUGGACGCAUCACUGGUGUUCGGGUUGUCAUGCCAAUGGCAUUGCCCGGUAGCUAAAUGCGGAAGAGAUAAGUGCUGAAAGCAUCUAAGCACGAAACUUGCCCCGAGAUGAGUUCUCCCUGAGACUAUAAGUCUCCUGAAGGAACGUUAAAGACGAUGACGUUGAUAGGUCGGGUGUGUAAGUGUAGCGAUACAUUGAGCUAACCGAUACUAAUGAACCGUGAGGCUUAACCUU
rnacentral:rRNA from 1 species